GGGAGUCAGAACUUCCACCUGAUUCUCAGUGUUCCGUGACCUAACAGGCAACGGAGUCAGCAGGCUGGUGCCGUUAUUCUGAUGGUGGCUCCUGUCAGAGCGGCCAGCGUGGCCCAGAGCUCCUGGUUCAUGCCAAAUGUCAAGCCUGAUGAUGGAGGAGUGGGAAACAUGCAGCUGGCCAUCUCUGCUCCUAACUUCUCCGCUGCAUCCUCAGCACCAUUGAAGAGCCACACCCCCGAGCCCACGAGCAACUACUGAAGUUUGUGCACCCAGAGCCUGUGCUUCUCAGCAACAGGAGCCACCACCACGAGAAGCCUGCACGCUGCAAAGAAGAACAGCCCUGGCUUGCUGCAACUAGAGAAAGCCUGCACGCAGCAAUGCAGACC
ensembl:lncRNA